rnacentral:rRNA from 1 species
GGCGGGACACGUGGUAUCCUGUCUGAAUAUGGGGGGACCAUCCUCCAAGGCUAAAUACUCCUGACUGACCGAUAGUGAACCAGUACCGUGAGGGAAAGGCGAAAAGAACCCCGGCGAGGGGAGUGAAAAAGAACCUGAAACCGUGUACGUACAAGCAGUGGGAGCACCCUUUGGGGUGUGACUGCGUACCUUUUGUAUAAUGGGUCAGCGACUUAUAUUCUGUAGCAAGGUUAACCGUAUAGGGGAGCCGGAGGGAAACCGAGUCUUAACCGGGCGUUAAGUUGCAGGGUAUAGACCCGAAACCCGGUGAUCUAGCCAUGGGCAGGUUGAAGGUUGGGUAACACUAACUGGAGGACCGAACCGACUAAUGUUGAAAAAUUAGCGGAUGACCUGUGGCUGGGGGUGAAAGGCCAAUCAAACCGGGAGAUAGCUGGUUCUCCCCGAAAGCUAUUUAGGUAGCGCCUCGUGAAUUCAUCUCCGGGGGUAGAGCACUGUUUCGGCUAGGGGGCCAUCCCGGCUUACCAACCCGAUGCAAACUGCGAAUACCGGAGAAUGUUAUCACGGGAGACACACGGCGGGUGCUAACGUCCGUCGUGAAGAGGGAAACAACCCAGACCGCCAGCUAAGGUCCCAAAGUCAUGGUUAAGUGGGAAACGAUGUGGGAAGGCCCAGACAGCCAGGAUGUUGGCUUAGAAGCAGCCAUCAUUUAAAGAAAGCGUAAUAGCUCACUGGUCGAGUCGGCCUGCGCGGAAGAUGUAACGGGGCUAAACCAUGCACCGAAGCUGCGGCAGCGACGCUGAUGCGUUGUUGGGUAGGGGAGCGUUCUGUAAGCCUGCGAAGGUGGCCUGUGAGGGUUGCUGGAGGUAUCAGAAGUGCGAAUGCUGACAUAAGUAACGAUAAAGCGGGUGAAAAGCCCGCUCGCCGGAAGACCAAGGGUUCCUGUCCAACGUUAAUCGGGGCAGGGUGAGUCGACCCCUAAGGCGAGGCCGAAAGGCGUAGUCGAUGGGAAACGGGUUAAUAUUCCCGUACUUGGUGUUACUGCGAAGGGGGGACGGAGAAGGCUAUGUUGGCCGGGCGACGGUUGUCCCGGUUUAAGCGUGUAGGUGUGUGUUCCAGGUAAAUCCGGUUCACUUUAACACUGAGGCGUGAUGACGAGGCACUACGGUGCUGAAGCAACAAAUGCCCUGCUUCCAGGAAAAGCCUCUAAGCAUCAGGUAACAUCAAAUCGUACCCCAAACCGACACAGGUGGUCAGGUAGAGAAUACCAAGGCGCUUGAGAGAACUCGGGUGAAGGAACUAGGCAAAAUGGUGCCGUAACUUCGGGAGAAGGCACGCUGACACGUAGGUGAAGUGAUUUACUCAUGGAGCUGAAGUCAGUCGAAGAUACCAGCUGGCUGCAACUGUUUAUUAAAAACACAGCACUGUGCAAACACGAAAGUGGACGUAUACGGUGUGACGCCUGCCCGGUGCCGGAAGGUUAAUUGAUGGGGUCAGCGCAAGCGAAGCUCCUGAUCGAAGCCCCGGUAAACGGCGGCCGUAACUAUAACGGUCCUAAGGUAGCGAAAUUCCUUGUCGGGUAAGUUCCGACCUGCACGAAUGGCGUAAUGAUGGCCAGGCUGUCUCCACCCGAGACUCAGUGAAAUUGAACUCGCUGUGAAGAUGCAGUGUACCCGCGGCAAGACGGAAAGACCCCGUGAACCUUUACUAUAGCUUGACACUGAACAUUGAGCCUUGAUGUGUAGGAUAGGUGGGAGGCUUUGAAGUGUGGACGCCAGUCUGCAUGGAGCCGACCUUGAAAUACCACCCUUUAAUGUUUGAUGUUCUAACGUGGACCCGUGAUCCGGGUUGCGGACAGUGUCUGGUGGGUAGUUUGACUGGGGCGGUCUCCUCCUAAAGAGUAACGGAGGAGCACGAAGGUUGGCUAAUCCUGGUCGGACAUCAGGAGGUUAGUGCAAUGGCAUAAGCCAGCUUGACUGCGAGCGUGACGGCGCGAGCAGGUGCGAAAGCAGGUCAUAGUGAUCCGGUGGUUCUGAAUGGAAGGGCCAUCGCUCAACGGAUAAAAGGUACUCCGGGGAUAACAGGCUGAUACCGCCCAAGAGUUCAUAUCGACGGCGGUGUUUGGCACCUCGAUGUCGGCUCAUCACAUCCUGGGGCUGAAGUAGGUCCCAAGGGUAUGGCUGUUCGCCAUUUAAAGUGGUACGCGAGCUGGGUUUAGAACGUCGUGAGACAGUUCGGUCCCUAUCUGCCGUGGGCGCUGGAGAACUGAGGGGGGCUGCUCCUAGUACGAGAGGACCGGAGUGGACGCAUCACUGGUGUUCGGGUUGUCAUGCCAAUGGCACUGCCCGGUAGCUAAAUGCGGAAGAGAUAAGUGCUGAAAGCAUCUAAGCACGAAACUUGCCCCGA